rnacentral:lncRNA from 1 species
CCAAGUCUUAUCCGACAUGUAAAAAUAGUUGCGGGGCACUUUCUUCUCUUUCGUCCACUCCACAGUGAUAACUCUGCUAAUACUUACCAGCACUUGAAGAAGGAUAGAGCAAUAAUUCCUUCUCCAUCCAGUCCACCAGUGGGUUUCCUUUGAUGGGUAUGUUUUGUUUUCUCAAAAACUGAUGAUUUCUCUUCAUGGCCAUUGUUAGGACUGCAUUAUCUUUGAGCUGUUUAUUUCUUUUCAUGCUUUCUUUGCUCUUUGUUUAUUUCUCUUAAAGAAAGAUAUAUUCUUUAAAGAGAAUUAUAAGUAUGAAAGGGUUACUAAACACCUUCCCUCAACAUGGUUUCUUAAAGCCCUUCAUUUUCAGUCCAAAAACAAGUUAUAAUAUUCCAGUGAUGAAAGCUGGAACUGGGUUUAUGUAUGGAAGACUUGAAGUGGGUUUCUCUAGAGGGACGAAGACAAAGUGUGUGUAUUUAAGAGAUAGUGUUGUUAGCAGUGAAGGAGUUGUUGAUAGUGAUAAGGAUAAGGAAGAUGAGGAUUGGAAAUUGGAGUUUCUCGGGGAGCUUGAUCCAUUGGGUUGUCAAGCAUCUAAGAAGACGAAAAAGCAACAAAAUUCAGGAUUGCUGAAAGAUACUGAUGGGAUGGAUUGGUGUUUGAGGGCGAGAAAGGUUGCCCUCAAGUCGAUUGAGGCGAGGGGGUUGAGUCAGAGAAUGGAAGAUUUAAUUAAUGUAAAGAAGAAGAAAAAGAAAAGGAAUAAGAAAAAGUUGGUUGGUAAGGUUAAGAAAGUUAAGGACUUUGAAGAGGAUGAUUUGGAUUUUGAUUUGGACGAAGGUGUUGAAUUGGAAGAUGAUGAUGCUGACCUUAAAAGGAUGGUGAGUAUGUUAGGGAUGGCAUGUUUCAAGAAAGGAAAGAGAAGACCAUGGAAGAGUUUCUUCAGAGGCUAUCCCAAUUCUCUGGACCUUCUGAUCGUAAGAAAGAGGUUAACUUGAAUAGAGCGAUUGUGGAAGCACAGACUGCAGAGGAAGUUUUGGAAAUCACUGCUGAGAUGAUUAUGGCUGUUGGGAAGGGGUUGAGUCCUUCACCGCUAUCCCCAUUGAAUAUUGCCACUGCACUUCAUCGAAUUGCUAAGAACAUGGAGAAGGUUUCAAUGAUGAAUACUCGUAGGUUGGCAUUUGCUCGACAGAAAGAGGUGUCGAUGCUGGUAGGUAUUGCUAUGACAGCAUUGCCUGAAUGUUCAGCGCAAGGUAUCUCAAAUAUUUCUUGGGCAUUGUCUAAGAUAGGAGGGGAGCUGCUUUACUUGUCGGAAAUGGAUAGAGUUGCAGAGGUGGCCUUGACCAAGGUUGGGGAGUUCAAUUCACAGAAUGUUGCUAAUGUCGCUGGUGCUUUUGCUUCAAUGCAGCACUCUGCUCCUGAUCUAUUUUCAGCAUUGUCAAAAAGGGGCUCGGAGAUAAUUCAUACUUUCCAAGAGCAGGAGCUUGCUCAGGUUUUGUGGGCUUUUGCGUCUCUUUAUGAGCCAGCUGACUCUUUGCUUGAUGCCUUGGAUACUGUUUUCAAGGAUGCAAACCAACUUGAAUGCUCCUUAAAGAUUAAAACAUCAUACUCUGAUGAGGAGAGAAGCAAUGAAGACAGUGGAGAUCUCGAUGCAGAAGGACCUCUACAGUCUCCAGUGCUCAGUUUUAAUAGGGAUCAGCUUGGGAAUAUAGCUUGGUCAUAUGCUGUUCUUGGACAAUUGGACCGAAUUUUCUUUUCAAAUGUGUGGAGAACUCUGAGCCAUUUUGAGGAGCAAAGGCUUUCAGAGCAAUAUAGAGAGGAUAUCAUGUUUGCUUCUCAGGCUCAUCUUGUGAAUCAAUGCUUGAAGCUUGAGUACCCGCAUCUUAGGUUGUCUCUUGGGGACAAUCUGGAGGAGAAAAUUGCUCGUGCUGGAAAAACUAAGAGGUUUAAUCAGAAAACAACUUCAUCAUUUCAGAAGGAAGUUGCUCGGCUUCUUGUCAGCACUGGCCUUGAUUGGGUGAGAGAAUAUGUUGUGGAUGGGUACACUGUGGAUGCUGUUGUGGUUGAUAAGAAAAUUGCUUUGGAGAUAGAUGGACCAACUCAUUUCUCCAGGAAUACUGGUUGGUACCUUUGCCAAGUUUACAAUGAUUAUCUAUUAUUUCACACUCAGCUACCUAGCUUUUGUUUAUUUAUCCUGUUAUAUACUGCAGGGAUGCCUUUAGGACAUACCAUGCUGAAACGGAGGUACAUUGCUGCUGCUGGUUGGAACGUGGUAUCAUUGUCUCAUCAAGAGGUGAGUUCCUCCUAAAAUCUCACCAUCCAGAAAGCAUCAGUAUUACAUGUAUUUAUGAUGAUGGGUGGCAGUAUUAUUAUUUUUUAUUUAUGAACAACUGAAUUCUGAUAGUUUGUAUCUAUGGAUGUGGUUGUUGAUGUUUGAUUGAUGCAGUGGGAGGAAAUAGAAGGAAGUUAUGAGCAGCAAGAGUACCUGAGAGAAAUCCUCAAGGAGCAUAUAGGUGAAGACAGGAGUAGAAGCAGCAAAGAUGAAUAAUCAUCAAGGGAAUGAAAUGAUGGAAAGUUUUUUUGCUAGAUAAGAUAAAUGUAGUGCUUACUACUAUUAUUGAUUUGUUGUAUGUUUAUGACAACAAACAAGCAUGCAUAAAUAAAUAAAAUCACUACCUUGGCUUCUAUUUUUUUUCUUAGUUCAGUACUCGUAAUCAAUCAAUCAAAGUAAGAAUUCAAGAAAUAAGCUGUCUUCCCAGCUGUGUUGUGCUAAUAAAUAUUAUAUACAAGUACUUGAAAUUGUUUGAUAAGUCAUGAGUGAAGAAGCAUUGCAUUAAUAUGAAAGAACAAGAAAAAGAAAUUGAAUGAAGGUGUUCGCUUGUGGAAUGUGUUCGCUUCUUCUGACAAGCAGCAAAUAGGUGAUAGAGAUGCCGAGGAGAAAGAUGAAGACAAGGGUGGAUUUAUUGGUAAGGUGAAGGACUCCAUUCAUGACAUUGGUGAAAAGAUUGCGGAGGGAGCUAUUGGCUUUGGGAAGCCAACUGCCGAUGUUACUGCCAUUCACGUCCCCUCCAUCAACCUUGACAAAGCCGACAUUGUUGUUGAUGUGCUCAUCAAAAGCCCUGCCCCAGCCCCUCUUAUUGAUAUCGACUACUUCAUUGAGAGUGAUUCAAGGAAACGUGAUAAAAAUGGAAAGAUCUACUAAAAUUGAUAAAUAUGGAAAUAGUUACAUUGAUGUUCCCAUCACCUUCACGCCUAAGGACUUUGGUUCUGCACUUUGGGACAUCAUUAUAGGAAAAGGCACCGGUCACACCAUGAAAGGGCAUAUUAAUGCUGACACUCCUUUCAGAGCUAUGAAGUUUCCCAUCAGCAAGGAGGGUGCUACAACCAUACUCAGGAUGAACAAAGAAGAAGAUGCCAGUGAUGAUGAGGUAUGGUAACUGUUUUUGUUUGCUAGAUUCUUCAUUGUUACAUCAGAUUUUUGAUUGGCUAGAUUGAAAAUCCUGCUCAACAUUGUCUUACUUUCAUUUCAUAGCUUUUACGGUCUCAGCAGACAGUGUAGGUUAAGACAGUUUGUAUCUGCAAAUCGUUACGUCUCUUGCCUCGCUUGUUAAUGACUUCAUGAUCCUUUCUCAACGUCUAGUUGUGUUGUGCCUUGUUCUUACCAAUAAUUGGUUGGGUAAUUUGCUUUACAUUGCACAGUUAGUUGCACGAGUGUCACAAUCCAACCAAUACAAUCAGAUAAAUGUAUGACCACUGUGCGAGCUAAGAUGGUGAGAACUGCUGCUGCUGUAGUAGCGGUGCCCUUUGCAGUACUGUAUCUUUUCUAUGUUCUAACUGUGAACAAACAGAGAUGUAAGUUUCGAGGAAUCAAGAACAGGGCAGGCAGUGCUGAAGCAACACGGCGGGUGUCGGUGCUGGAGGAACAUCAAGUCAUGUCCAUCACAAAAUGAAUUCCAUUCCACUCACAAAUCAUUGCAUACAAUACAAUCGUCUUUCNNNNNNNNNNNNNNNNNNNNNNNNNNNNNNNNNNNNNNNNNNNNNNNNNNNNNNNNNNNNNNNNNNNNNNNNNNNNNNNNNNNNNNNNNNNNNNNNNNNNUGAUGGUUUUUAAUUUAAAUAUUGUGAAUUUAACUAUUGCUAUUACAUCAUGAAAUAAAUCAUACUUUAUAUAUAAAAAAAUUACUUUAACAAAAAACUAUCUACAAUUUCAUUACGUACAAAAUUCAUCCAACAAUAACUACAAAAUUAGGUAAAAUAAUAUCAAAAAUAAAAUUAAGAUUACAGUGAGUAAAUUUAAUUCACCUUAAACUAAUAAAAAAAAAAUAUUAUUCAUGUUCAUGUAAAUAGUGCGAAUAAAGGUAAUUAACUACACUGGUUUUUAAAAAAAGAAAAACAAGAUUCAGUAUUUUGCCGCGCAGGAAGCAGCUCUCUAGCUGCUUCUCUUUUUCUUGCGUUUUAAAUGUAGCAGAUUAUGGGACCAUAAACAAUAACAAGUGUUUGUUAAUUAACCAAAUAACUUGCAAAAUGAAACCGCAAAAAACGUAGAUGCUAAUCACGUAGAUUGUUAUGAUCGGUGGCUAGAGAGAGAAUAAAAAGGGUUAGGGUUAUUGUCAAAUACUGUUUUGUUCGAUUCAUCUAUUAUGGUUACCUUUUUGUAAUCAUAUUAUUAGAUUACCCAAUCCUGUUGGAUCCAAAAAAAUUAAUGAUCAAGUCAUAAAAUUUCCCUUUUUAUUUAAAAAUAUACAAUCUAAGCAUUUUUUUUCACAUUAAAAAAUAAUUGGCCAAUCACUCCCACAUUAUAGAGCAGGGCACAGAUUUAGUUGAUCCUAAUUUUUGAACAAAAGAACCCAGGGACAUGCCUUUCUUUACAGUUAUGUUCAAUUAAAUUAGUGAUUAUCUUUUUAAAAAACUUGAAUUAGUAUAACAAAAUAUUUUUUAUGCUUUCCUUGUAGAAGAUUGGAAACAAAAUAAUUUGGAUUAAAAUUAAAGAUAAAACACACAGAUUUAUAAUCAAAUUCAACUUAUUUAGUGCCAUCCAAAAGAGAAACAAAAAUAUUUAGUGCCUUGUGAACUCGAAUCAGGAUUUUGUGCUUAGAUGCAGAACACGGACCAUUUCGCAAUCAAGCAUGGCUCUGCUUCUCGCGGAUUAUUGGACACAAAAUGCAGGCAAGGGCUUGAUGCACCACUAGAAGAAAAACAUAUCGAUCCCACUCUUGAAGAAGGGCAGGUGAAGUACAUGAAAUACACUUACAGGGCAAGCAACUUCUGAAAUUAGAUUUAAGCUUGCUUGUUUGUUAUUAUGGCCAACCCGGUGGUUGACCGCAGUAACAAACCGCCUCUUAUUAAUCACUGAACCAUGGUUUUUCCCUGUAACCCUUUCGAGUUCUUCAAUCCCAGACAUUGUAUUGCGUAAUGGUUCAGCUAGAACAGUCAUUGAUAGGCAUGCCUCAAAAAGUUACCGUGAAAACUAGUUAAGAAACAAAAGCAAUUAACAUUCCCUCAAUAAUAUCAAAAUCCAAACUUGCCUGCACUACAGCAUUAUUAUCCUCGUACAUCGCAAAAAAGAUGAUACUCCAACUCGCUUUCCACACUUAUAGCUCAAGUUUUUCUUGCAGGCUUGGGAGCACUACCCUGAUCUCUGUGCCGCAGCAGACAUCCGAUUGAGGUUUAGCUAAGUCUGCCUAAGCCUUCAAUCAAUUUUCAGAGAGUGCUCAUUGGAUUAAACUAUGUAGCCAAUGGAAGUUCCAUUGCAAGAUUGGAUGAAAUUGGAGUGGGAAGCUAGCUUGUUGCCUCCAUUGCAAUUUAUCUCAUGUUACCCUCCCGCAAGACAUCAAUCAUAUCGUAGAUCCGCUUGUCAGCCUUUGAUUGAAUCUGCGUUUUAAUCACAUUAAAAUUACUACCGGCAAUCAACUUCGAAACAUCACAUUGAAAUUACUACUGACAAUCAACUUCGAAAUCACAGCUAAAUUUCUCAAUAACAUAUGUAUUCCCAGAACGUUUUAUCAUAGGAUCUUCAAAUAGUGAAACUACCAAAGAAGAGCAGUGAGGUAGAAGAGGUAGUGAUUACAAGAGCUGAGCAAUAAAAAUUGGCAAAAGAGGUUUUAUGUCAAGGAGCUAUCCCAUUAUGAAUAUAACUAAAUUAAAUCUUAAGUAUGAGAGGAGGAUUUGAAGCAUUGUCACCUUCUUAGCAAGGAAAAGUACAGCAUCAACUGUACCCUCAGCAUAGAUUGAUCUACCGCACACAUUAUGUUGAAACUCAAAUGAAACACUGCACGAAAAGAAAUCCAAAAGAUAAUUGUUUUAAAAAAAGAAAAAAAUAACAGAAUUCAAAUAAAAAUGAGAACGAAUAUUUGUUAUUACGUUUUAUCAGGUGAUGACAGAUAAUACAAAUGAAAUGCAUGACCAGACAAAUACUCCUCUGGAACUCCCACCAACUCCACUUGUUCCUUGGGAUCUCGGAUCAUUUCUAUCUGAACAGUCAGCAAAAAAUCAUAUUAAAAAGACAGUACAUUUUUUUGGGAGGUGGACACAGCAUAGGACCAAAUCUUCUAUGAAAACACUUAUAAGACAACAUGGUUGAGUGUGAAGUUUAAAACCAGAAAAGAUGUGUCAAACAAGGGCUGGUAAUAAAAGUAUUAUGACUUAACCUCUUGACCAAAUUUCAAUUUUUUUUGUAAUCAUGUCAAGUUUCAACUUUUACAUGAAAACCAAGCAAAUGAAGCAUGAAAUUCAGUAUUUUCAUGAAGAUAUAAGAAUAAGUUAUGCUUUAAUACCACCUGAUCAUCAAAAGACACCCCCAAUUUCUUGAAGCAAGAAAUGACAGCCUUGGCAGUUCCAGAAGUGUCCAGCUUUCCUGCUUGAUGGGACUCCUUCACCUAAAAAUUAAAUAAGUUUAUCAGCAAUAUUAGCACUACCAACAACAAACUCAAGUGAGGAAGGGAACUUCUUUUCCAAAAGGGAAUCAAUGCAGAAGGACAUACAUGAAGGGAGUAUCCAGAGAAUGCACCAGGAAAUUGCUCAGCCAUAAUCUCCAUGGCUGCAAGAAAUGCAACCACCUAUCAAAAAGAAACAGCCCAUUAGUACAGAGAACAUGAUAACUUAUAGCAUCAGGAUCUAUUACAUUUCACAACCCGUUCGAGGCACUCAAUCCCAUCACCUGUUUCCCCAUUUGUGGCGAGAUUACUGCAUAAACUUUUGAGGCAUCCACAGUCUUAUAUAAUAUAUCCCUAUCGCCACCAGUAGUUCCCAUCACAAAUGGCACCCCAACUCUGCAAUACAGAUCUGCAUUAUCUACACAUUACAAAAAGAAAGGUCAAAAGAUUAAAAGAGGAUCAACAAAAGAAGAGAACAAAAUCACAACAGGAAGCUUCACAAUGUCUGUAAUAUUAUAACACAUGAUGAAUUAUGAAACUUUGUCAACAUGAAUGGAUUAGCUUUUUCCAUGCAAUUCUAAGAUUAAAAAUCCUAGAUGCAUGAGAAAACUAAAAGAAUUGAAAAAAAAAAAUUACUUUAAUUAUGAUAUCCAUAUCCCAUUUUUGGCAUCACCAAAAUAUUUUCUUUUCAAGUAGUAAAGGUUGCCAACAAAAAAUUCCAUUUUGAACUCAGAGUAAAAUAUCAAAUCUAUGAAUUUCAGACUUGAACUACCACGAGAACUCUCUUCUGGAAAAUAAUUAAAAUUUCUUUUCUGUUUCAAGAGUCAAUAGCUCCAAGAAAUUUUACCAUUCACCAAAUCAGGCACGGUGUAAUCCACCACAAUCAUGCUCGGAUACUCAUCAUAGAGAGACGCAAGCACGCUUUCUCUUUCAGAAGGACCAUGAAUUUUAAUCUCAUUCCCAAAAACUUCCACAGUAUUACCAGCCUCCUUUUCCGGGCCAAAUGAUUUUGGAAGAAUUUGAAGUCCAGCAGAAUUCGCUGCCAAUAUGACAGACUUCCCCAUUUUUCCAUUACAGCCAUUUACCUCAAAUUAACAAAAUAAUACAAAUUAAUAACAUCCAAAGUCAAUUUUCCCCUAAUCACCAUAAUGACCAAACAAUUCACGUCAGCUAACCUAGUAAAAAGAAAAAAAAUACAAUAUAAUCAUAAAUAAAUAAAUAAAAACAAUACCGUAUCAUACCAUGAUAGGAACUGCAGUACUUUUGGUUGUCAUGGACAUUACAACCACAGAAGAUCUCCGUUUCUGAUGUCACAAAACAAAAAUAUGUUUAUGUACUAAAGGGUGUUUGCUAACUUAGCUUGUUAAAGUUUCAUUUUUUUCCAUUGCCCUCUUAGUCUAUAUUGAUUUAUACAGCAAGCAAACAAAAAAGAAGUAAGAUCUUUGAUUAUGAAAACAAUACAAUGAAAGCAGUAACAUGAUAGCCCCAGCUUUUUACAUUACCUGAUAAUGGUUGGUGAAGAAACUAGUUCCAUUAGAGCUAAGUGGGUUGCUAAGAUAGAGUGGUUUCAAUGGUUCACAAAUCACUGCCCCUUGAAUCCACAUUUUUCGCUCAAGAAGAAGGAUGAGAAGGAGACGGGGAGGGUUUUUUUUUUUUUUUUUUUUUAGGGUUUUAGGGGUCCUUUGUAUGGUUGGUGGCAUAGUGCCACUAGUCAAAUAGAUCACAAUUCACUAGAUCGAUACAAAAAAAAAAAAAGGGAACUAUACUGACAUCAAAUGGGCUUUUUGUAAGGAAAAAAAUGGACUUUAUGUUAGCAACCAACAAACAAAACCCGGGUUCGGAUCUAACGUUAUUAAUAAUUUAAUAUCGAAACCACCAUGAUAUAUAUACUCCAGAUAGAGUGAGGUCAAGUAGGGUUUUGAAUAGUCAAGGUUCUUCCCAUUUUCUCUUGUCAAUCUUAAGAGAAUCAAAAGAAAAAGGAAAUGGUUUUACUGUCUGCUUCAACGAAAGAUUUAUUAUCGAAUUCUGUUCACUUUUUUCAUCAUCAAAAUCGAAGCUUUUCGCUUCUCUAUCAGAAACCAACACAGCUCUCUUUUUCCUCAUCAUCUUCUAUUGGUCAGUCAUUUCUAUUCAAUCCAAAUUACUAGCUAUAAUAGUUGUGAAAGAUGUUAAUUUCAUUUUCUUAGUCAUUGGGAUCCAACCCUGCUGUAAUUUUUUAUUGUUAAUGCUAGACUCUUUUUCUUUUUUUUUUUGUAUUCAGCCAUGAAAGAUCAUUUAUUUGUGAUGUGAAUUUCAAAACUUUUCAGGGUUUGGGACGACUAGCAUUGGCUUUGAGAGGAAAGAGCGGUCGUCCAUUGUGGAAACAGCAGCUGUUAGGCAUUUGGAAGGCUCAGUUACCAAAACUGAGGGGUUUCGCUUUGCACUCGUAAGUUUCUCUGCUUUUCUGUUUAUUUAGGCUUUCAUUUGAAUUGAUUUUCCUUAUGUUGACAUUGAUUACUGGAAACAACAUUCUAAGGUCGUGGCUAGGUUCAAUGAGAUUAUUACCAGGCCACUUUUAGAAGGAGCUGUUGCAACUUUCAAGAAAUAUUCAGUCAAAGAAGAAGACAUUGAUGUAUGCAAACUGUUUAUUUGAAAAGCUAUUUUUUUCAAAUUUGUUUUCUUUUUGUUAGUGAAUUUUGAUAAGGGUGUGGUUGUUUUAUUAUGUUUCUCAUCAGGUUGUAUGGGUUCCUGGUAGUUUUGAAAUAGGCAUUGUUGCAGAAAGGUUAGGCAAGUCAGGAAAAUAUCAUGCAGUGGUGUGUAUUGGAGCUGUGGUAUGAAUGAUUUCUCUUCAUAACCUUGAAACAAGUUGCUAUUUGAUGGAAGUAUUUUGGUGUUAUGAGGGGUGGCUUCCUCCUCAUUUUACUUUCCUUGAAGUACUACUUACAGGCUGGCCUGGUAUGUGAAUUAUUUUUUGUUGAUGAUGGUAGGUAAGAGGUGACACCACUCACUAUGAUGCUGUUGCUAAUUCAGCAGCAUCUGGAGUGCUUUCUGCUGGUUUAAAUUCAGGUUGGUGUUUACACUUUUCGCUGGUUUUAUUGCGUGGUUUUGAAACUCUGUUGACCAAGGUUUCAAAGGGUUUGUCCUUCACUAUAGUAAUUAUCUUGUUAUGUACAAGUUUCUGUAACACAUUGUGCCAUAUAAUAAAGUAAAUGUCGAAGUGCACCAUGGGCUCAAAGAUGGAAACAGACACAGAUGAAGAGUGGUUGAAGUUGUCAUUAUUGCAUCAAAUAUCACUGUGGUGUGUAUAAUACUUUGCAAAACUGAUAAAACACCAUCUCUUCUUAUGUUCUUCACACACCACACACAAGUGUGUACACGGUUGCAUACGACCAACUUUAAUUCUUCAGGUGUCAUUUAGCAUCAAUAUGUUCUGUUUCUGCCUAACUCUUUUAUAACUGAAAAAUUGCUUUCUCCUUUGAUGUAACAUAACAUGCAUGCUUCCUCACCCUUGAGGAAAUGAUCUGGCAGGUAGCUGUAUACCAGUUUACUGUUGCUCUCUCCAAUUCUGUUGAAAGGCUUCACAGUGAAAACUUAUAAUACUCUCUUGAUGAAUUUGCAGGGGUUCCAUGUAUAUUUGGUGUUCUGACAUGCGAGGACAUGGAACAGGUAAACUUGUGAAAGAAGCAUUUGAAUAAAACAAAAGCACGCUUCAUUGGUUUUUUUCCGAGAAUGUUUCAUCUGAAAUCGUUUGUUUUGAUAAAUGCAGGCGAUAAAUCGAGCUGGUGGCAAAUCUGGGAAUAAGGGUGCUGAGGCUGCUUUAACAGCUGUAAGUUGAUUGUGUUGAAUUUACAUUAUUAAUGCUUGGGAUAAGUACAUGUACUGAUUAAUUAUUUUCUAGUAUUUAGUUUUCUGUCUUCUUCCAGCUUACAUGUUAUUAAUUUCUUCCUUGAUUUUCUUUGGUAUAUCUUUCUGUUUAUCAAAUCUUCUUGUGGGAUAGGAGGUUGAGAAAAGUAUUCAUCUAAUUUGUUGUCAAUGGACGAUAUAUUUUCUUUUAACAUAAUAAAGUUUUGAGAGGUGUAGUGAGUGGUUCAAAGAAAUGUUGUCUAGUUGCUCAGCCAAGGCAAUUGUCCUUUAAGGCUCAUGUUUCAUAUUUACAUUUUUUUCAAUGCAUGCAAUAGGUUCAAUAGGCUUUGGCACAUGGUUUCAAUGUGCAGGUUUUUGUGAUUUGAAACCUGGUCUGGCCCGGUGAGUUGACCCAAGCCUUGGCUGGGUUUCAAAUCACAAAAAAUUCAGGCUUGCAAUUAGCCGGUCAAACUAAGGCAACCAACCAAGUCAACCCAAAACCUGAGUGACCUGGCAUAACUCGAGUGAGAUCUUUUUUUUUUAAUAAACCCAAAAAAUAUAAAAUUAAUUUAUAAAUAUUUAGUCUCACAUAUUUUUUUUAUAGCUUACGUAACUUUUCGAUGUGAGAUAGCUAUGUAUAGUCUAUAUCUACAUGGAUUGUUUCUUAACCUUUUAAUGUGGGAUGGCUAUAUAUAGUCUAUAUCUACAUGGAUUGUUUCUUAACCUUUUAAUGUUGGAUAACUAUAAAUGGCUAUAUCCACAUAGACUAUUUCUUAAUUUUUUAAUGUGGGAUACCUAUAUUACACUUCACUUUUUUUUUAUAGUUUACAUUCACAUGGAUUGUUUCUUUAUAUUUCAAUAUGGGAUAAUUAUAUAUAGUCUACAUUCACAUGGAUUGUUUCUUGAGUUUUUAAUACAGGAUAAGUAUACUACACUUCAUAAUUUUUUAUAGCCUAUUUCUAAAUGAAUUGUUUCUUAAUUUUUUAAUGUGAAAUAACUAUAUUACACUUCACAUUUUCUUUUUUUAUAGUCUACAUCAACAUGUAUUGUUUCAAAACUUUUCCAUAUGAGAUAAUUCCUUUCGCUUGUAAUGUAUUUUUUUCCCAAGUUCAUUUUGUGCUUAUCACACCAUGGUUAUUUCCUUUUGCUUGUAAUGUAACAUGGCGAGUUGGAGUUUUUUUAUUGGAUAAUUCUUAUUAAUUUUCGGUUAAUUUUUUUCUAUUGCAGAUUGAGAUGGCAUCCUUGUUUGAGCACCAUCUAAAGUAACAAGACUUUUACUUUGAGGAGAGUUGUAAGAAAUCCUUAUCCCGCUGGGAAUGACUGUACUGUGUAGAUUUCUUUUUCUUUAAAACAGUUGAAAUUUUAUGUGCUGAGAAGUUAGUGAAAAAAUAAAAGUGCAGCCUAAAUAUCUCAGAUGAUAGUCAGCUAUUUGUCGGCUGCAAGAAAUUGACUUCAUACCUAAAAUUGCACUGGCAAUGGAAGAUAGCAAGUUUGAUGUUGUAAAAACACAGAACUAUGCUAACUGCUCAUUUGCCUUAACGUGUCAAAUGGAUGUUUUUUUUUUCCUCUUUUACUUCUUUGGGGAACCAUGUGUUCCUUGCAUGUCAAAUUGCUGCAACUGAGCAUCAAUUUGUCUCUUACUUUAUUUCCCAAUGUCUCCUCACCCAUGGGGAACUUUGCCAUAAUAUUUCAUGAACAGAAUCGCCAUAACACUUCUCACCUCGGCCAUCUUGUUUCUGUUUUCCGCCAAGGAUGUGAGAAAAAGGAAAGCUAAAAACAGAAUUCCCCAUGAAGAUUGUGGGUGAGCAGAGGAGUGAAACAAAGACAGAAAAGGAGGCUGUUGGCCAGUACACCGUGAAGUUGAGACAAUACCUCCCUUGAUAACCACUCUAUUCCAGAAUGCCAGACACUGGCUAUUGCCCUUCAAGCUUCGUUCUAAAACUAAAUGACCGGAUAACCCCCCCUCUCAAUUUCAGUAAAACAGGGACAGGGGAAGAAGAACUGCGAACCAUCUCAGAAGGGCACAGGGACGAUGCGGUAAUUCUAUUGGAAGGUUUAAUGUUACUGUAUUAGUUGUAUUAAGCACCAUUGAUUUGGCUAAUCCUAACAAACAAAGUGAACGAAACGCAAUCAAGCCAGGGAAUAAAGAGAAAAAAAGGCAACACGAAGCUUAGAAUCUAAGUUAAACAUAGUAUCACAAGCAAGCUGCCCACAUGGACCAUGAAAGAUUGUCAUUUUGUACGGCACUGUUUGUAAGAAUGGCUUACGGCAAGUUUUUGAUCUGCAAGUACAAGCCAUGCAAGGAAGAUUUAUCUUUUUUCAUAGCCGCUUGGAAGAUAUGAAAAUAUUCUCUUCCAUUAGUCUCUAUAUACCUUGAAAGAUCAUAAUUUUGAUUAAGGGUUCAUCUUCUUUCAUUGAUACAUCAUACAGUCAAUUGUUCUCUAUUGACAUGGUGAUAUUGCAGCUUUCUAGUUCCAACCCUGUAAAUCCCCAAGCAAAGCAUUCCAUCCUUGAAUUGGCUCGUAGUCGUCGAAAACACUUGCCAACUUUCUCUUCUUUCUCUUUGCCAAGUUUGUUCAUAUCCAAUUCUCAGCAACCUCAAAAUCCCAUAUCAUCAUUCCCUCAAGUAAAUCAGGUCUGUUUUUCUUUCGUUUGUUGCCUUGGUUUCUACUCUACUUUUUGCCAGGAUUUUGCAAAUGCUUAUAUGUGAAUAAUAUUUGAGAAUUCAUCUAUGGCAGAGUGUUGCAGCUAUUGUAUUUGGAGAUGGAUCAGAGUCAAGGCUCUAUCCAUUGACAAAAAGAAGAUCAGAAGGUGCCAUUCCCAUUGGAGCAAAUUACAGAAUCGUCGAUGCAGUUAUUAGCAACUGUAUUAACAGUAACAUAAACAAGAUAUAUGCUCUAACACAAUAUAAUUCUACUUCUCUCAAUUCUCACCUCUCUAGAGCAUAUGCUGGCUUAGGCCUCGGCAAAGACGGGUUUGUUGAAGUGAUUGCGGCAUAUCAGAGUCUAGAAGACCAAGGCUGGUUUCAGGUCUGAUAGCUUAUCUACUUCUAUAAUACAUGCGUAUUCGAUGCUUAUUGCUUCUACUCAAUGAGGGGCAGGCUAUGGUCAGCAAAGCCAAUGUGAUCAUUUCUGUUUCUUUUUGUACUAGGGAACUGCUGAUGCUAUGAGAAGGUGCUUGUGGGUACUGGAAGAGUACCCAGUGUCUGAGUUUUUGGUCCUUCCUGGCCACCAUCUCUACAGAAUGGACUACCAGAAACUAGUGAAGGCCCAUCGAAGUAGCCAGGCCGAUAUAACCAUUGCAGCUUUGAAUUCAAUAAGAGAUCAAGAUCCUGGUUUUGGCAUAUUAAAAGUGAAUUCUCUAAAUGAAGUUACAGAGUUCGAUGUGAAGUCAGAGAGGGCAGUAAGUUGAUUUUAGUAAAUAUUAUUUUCCUCCUAAAAGUUUGAGCUCGCGACUCGUGUGGGGAUCGUGUUCUCUAAAGAAUCUCUCCUAAAAUUCAGGUCCAAAGUUCCCAAGCAUUCAAUGAUAAUGGUUAUAGGCAGCUAUCCAGCAUGGGGAUCUAUCUUGUUAAUAGAGACAUUAUGAGCAAGUCUCUAAACGAAUACUUCCCCGAGGCAAAUGACUUCGGAACUGAAGUAAUACCCGGCACAAUAUCGACUGGAAUGAAGGUUAGGCUGGAGUUAGCUAAUUAAGCAUUAACUUUUACACUAACUAUGUUUGCUUUGUCCAAAAAUAUGCUUGAUGUUUCCUUCUCUUCCAUGAGCUUUCAUUGAGAAAGUUCUUAUUAUGUGCGUGGAGCAGGUUCAAGCUUAUGAAUUUGAUGGAUACUGGGAGGACAUGAGUAGCAUUGCAGCACUUUAUCAAGCAAACAUGGAGUGCAUAAAGAGAUUAAACAUGGGAUACAAGUCAGUAAUUUUUCUUCUUGGAAGGAUGGAAGUAUAACACCUAUAAUGGCCUCUCAUCAGCUAACACAAACUUCAUUCCUUUCCUGACAGCUUCUACGAUAAAGAUGCUCCUCUAUACACCAUGCCUCGCUAUCUGCCUCCGACUACUGUAACCGAUGCUGUCAUCACAGAAAGUGUGGUUGGAGAUGGUUGUAUCCUUAAUGUAAGAAUAACUUUUCCAUCAGUCUCCUAUGUUUCUCCCUUUUGCUCAAAGUAAGGAAUAUGAUGUCAUAAAUUGUGUUGUAUCUUGUUUCUGAAUCUUGUCAUGCUUUAUUUUCUUGGAAAUAUCUUUUUGAUCUUUCUAAGAAUAGAGUUGCAAGAUCAAAGGAACAGUAGUUGGUAUGAGGACAAUCAUUAGAGAGAAGGCCAUAAUUGAAGAUUCAGUCAUCAUGGGUUCCGAUAUCUAUCAGGUAAGAGAGAGCUAUUGAAAGCAACUUUCAUUUUUAGUUUUCCUAAAGCAACACAAGUAUGUACAUUUAGUGAUGAUACUAACUGAGAUGUGGAUGCUCAACAGAAAAACUAUAUCCAAAAGAGUGGCAAGGAUCAGAAGGGCAUGUUGAUUCCGAUAGGAAUUGGCGAUGAAACUCACAUAAAGAAAGCUAUUGUAGACAAGAAUGCAAGGAUUGGCAGAAAUGUAAUGGUAUGUAGAAUCAUAAACAUAGCCAAACUAAUCCAAAGCCAAAACAAGUGAUGUACACAAAAAUACAAUUGCUUUCAGAAUGUUAAGGUGCGAGUCUGAGACAUUAUUAAAACAGGAUUGUUUGUCUCUGUGGGACUGAGUAUUGAGUUCCUGUCAUUCCUUACUGAUGUAACAUCUAUGCAAUUGUGUUCUGCAGAUUAUUAACAAAGACAAUGUACAAGAAUGCAACAGAGAAGCUGAUGGCUACAUAAUCAGUGGAGGAAUAGUGGUUGUCCUAGAGAGUGCAGUGAUCCCAGAUGGCAGCAUUUUAUGAUAUUGUUGAAUGUUGAACAACAGGAUCAUCAUUCAUUUAUUUCUCAAGCUGAUUCUUUCAUAUAGUUAAAAACAAAAGUUCAACAAGAUGUGCAAUGCCAUUUUCGUGUGGGGGGGGGGGGGAUGAGCAAUCUCACUGCCAUUGCCACCUAAAAUGUCAUUUAAUAUGGAAUUUACAAUGAAGUUUGAUUCUUUCAGUGAUUUUCUACACGUAUGAACUUGAGACUUUUCACACAUUUUACUUGCUUAAAUUAUUUGAAAAUUUUCUACUAUAUCUGCAAAAUAUGUCUCACUAAGCACCAUGUUUUAGAAAUUAGGUUGGGCAAAAUAUUAUUUCAGAUACAACCCCUUUUAUUUAGAUUUUAGGAAUGCUUUGGUUAAGCUGUUGAAAUCAUGUUUCGCUUACGAAAAACAUCGUUAAUGUUUUUCGUGUGUGGUUAAAACGGAGUUUCAAAUACAUAUCAGGCCUUAAUUAUAAGCUAGACCUAACUAAUUAAUUAAUCCUUAUUGUUUUAAAAUCCAAACUUUAAUUCCUCUAUUUUUAAAUUUAUUUAUAAUUUAGUCUUUUGUUAAUUUUAUGAACUUUUUCAAUAUAUUUUAUUUUUUCCUUGAAAAAUAGAAUACAUAAAGAGAAGUAUUUAGGGAAAUUGUGUUAGGAAAAGGAAGUUUUAGAGCAAAACGCUACUAAAUUGACAACAGUAGUUAAGGGAUUAUUAGAUUAAUUCUGAUAACAAAAGGACUAAUUUGAUAAUUCUGAAAACUAUUAGGAGUAAUAAUUAACUCAAGCAAGGGCACGAAAACGGCUAAAGCUGAAAAACAAAAGCAAAUCCCAAGUCUUAUCCGACAUGUAAAAAUAGUUGCGGGGCACUUUCUUCUCUUUCGUCCACUCCACAGUGAUAACUCUGCUAAUACUUACCAGCACUUGAAGAAGGAUAGAGCAAUAAUUCCUUCUCCAUCCAGUCCACCAGUGGGUUUCCUUUGAUGGGUAUGUUUUGUUUUCUCAAAAACUGAUGAUUUCUCUUCAUGGCCAUUGUUAGGACUGCAUUAUCUUUGAGCUGUUUAUUUCUUUUCAUGCUUUCUUUGCUCUUUGUUUAUUUCUCUUAAAGAAAGAUAUAUUCUUUAAAGAGAAUUAUAAGUAUG